AUGGUAGAGGCCCUGGUGUGCACAAGCGACUGGUUAAAAUCUGAUCCACCUAACCUAUACAAGGAUCCCAGUGAAGAUGAGCUCGCCAUUUUCGUUGAGUUGGAGGAGAUUGAGAGAGAAAACAGUUUCAAUCAAGGACAGGAGGCAGCAACAACCCCAAUAGAGCUUACUGGAAGCUCCAGUUUAAACUACUGUUUGUGUCUUCAUACUGUCACGAAGCGAACCGAAACUCACAACCAGGAAGUUCUUGUAUUUUCAUUCCUUCAUCUUCCCAAUGACGAUGGUAAUACCAUUCCUAAUGUUGUGGAUGUCUGGAUGACCUUGUAUUUCCUCCUUCCGUUGGUCUAGACAAUAGGGGCCCAUUUAUUGAGCUUGAGUAUCUGGAAUCCAUAGACAUUAUAGGUCAUUGUGAUGGGAUUAUAUGUCUAUCACUCUAUACCGGUGACCUUAUCUUAUGCAAUUCAGCGAUCAAAGAGUUUAAGAUUGUUCCGGAAUCGACGAUCCUUCAAGAGUGGACAGGAUGUGCUAUGGGAUUUGGUUAUGAUCCUAAAUCUGGUGAUUACACAAUUGUUAAUGUUGUAUCUUAUGAUGAAGAAGUAUAUGAAGAACGCCUUGUUCAUUCUACUCCCAAAGCAGAAGUAUAUACACUAGGCACUGAUUCUUGGAGAUCGACACUGAUAUUUUAGAGACAGAAACUGCUAUAUUUUGGCCAUUCUUUUUUCAAAUGUAUUUCAAGGGGAUUUUCUAUUGGUUGGGAUAUGAGCAAAACAAGGAGUUCAUAUCUUGCUACAGGAGACAAGAAGAAGAAUACGUUAGACAAGUGAUUGUGUUGUUUGAUACAAGUGAUGAGGUAUUUCGUAGCAUGUUGCUUCCGGAUAGUUUCUACGAGCCAUCAUUUGGAGUAUAUACAAUGCGCCUGGGAAGGUGGAAAGAAUCCAUUGCUCUUUAUGGCUUUCAUUGUUUUACCUAUUUCGAAAUAUGGGUGAAUGAUGGUAAUGGUUCUUGGACAAAACACGCAACAUUUGAGCCUCUAGAGGAUUACUUUGUAUUAUCAUUGGCAUUUUGGAAGAGCGAAGAGGUUAUCAUGGUUGCCAAUGAUGGACGUAUAGUCUCUUACAAUGUUGCUACUGUAAAGAUCAAGUAUCUUCCCAUUCAUGGUGUAUAUCCAGGAUCGUUUGAAGCUGUUGUAUGUUUGAAUAGUAUAGUUUCAGUUAACAGAGGCAACAAGCUUGCGAGUGAAGAUGUAUGA